AUACGAAUCACUGGAGGAUCUCAUUAAAAUACAGAUUCUGAUUUAGUAGGUCUGGGGUGGGGCCUGAGAUUCUGCAUUUCUAAAAAGUUCCCAGGUGAUGCUGAU
rnacentral:pre_miRNA from 1 species